CUUUUUUUAGACGGAAUUGUAUCUCCAAGCAGUUGAAAUAUCACCAACUUAGCAAUAUUUUGCUUGCAUCAAAAUUUGCUCCAUUACAGCUCUGUUAAACUAGAAUGCCACAUGAAAUUCUCCCACUGUUGCUAAAUGAAUGUGGAAACCUUUGACAGCAAUGGGACUGUGCAAUUUAGGAAAGAUUGUGGUGGAGGUGAAAGAAGGGAUCUGGAUAUUAGCUUCUGUUUUUAAAUUCUGUCUUUUGGCUGAAUCCAUUUAUGGCUCAAGUUUGUUCCAAUGAUUUCGUGGUCCUUGGAUGUCAUUGAAAAGUCCUUGAAUGUAUUUAAAAAAAUUGAGUGGAAAAACCGCACAUUUCAUCCCUACCUUCCCAAAAAAGAAAUUUGACUGAUCAAAAUGUAUCAUCUGCCAGAACAUUUCUGUUUGUUUCAAUCAGAAUUGAGUGUCAUGUAAAAUUCAUCCUCUUUCAAAUCAAUAAAAUUGUAUUUCCAUUCAUUUAGAACAGAAUAGAAAUAAAUAAGUUUUAAAAAGUU